UACGGAAGGUGCAAGCGUUGUUCGGAAUGACUGGGCGUAAAGCGCACGUAGGCGGCUUCGUAAGUCGGAUGUGAAAGCCCCGGGCUCAACCCGGGAACUGCAUCCGAAACUACUUAGCUUGAAUGCUUGAGAGGUUGGUGGAAUUCCAGGUGUAGGAGUGAAAUCCGUAGAUAUCUGGAGGAACAUCGGAGGCGAAGGCGGCCAACUGGCGAUGCAUUGACGCUAAGGUGCGAAAGCGUGGGGAGCAAACAGG
rnacentral:rRNA from 1 species